AUGAUGCCCCUCGGACGGUGUCCCAGUCCCACCCGGCCCGAGAUCCCCAAAUUUCCCCAACCCCCGAAACCCAAACAGCGCAAUCCCAAACCCAAACCUAAGCCCAGACCGAGAGACCCCGCACCCAAAUCUAGGGUUUCGCUUCCCCGCCGCAGGAUGGCUGCCCCCGCCGCCGCCGGCUCCGGCGCCGUCGUGCCCGCUGGUGACGGCGAGGGCUGGACCCCCAGUUUCGGCGACAUGGUCUGGGGCAAGGUGAAGUCGCAUCCGUGGUGGCCGGGCCACGUCUACAGCCUCACCCUCUCCGACGAUCCGGAGGUGCAUCGCGGCCACCGCCAUGGCCUCGUCCUCGUCGCCUUCUUCGGCGACGGCAGCUACGGCUGGUUCGAGCCGCACGAGCUCGUCCGCUUCGAGGACCACUUCGUCGAGAAGACCUCGCAGGGGGGCAGCCGCACCUUCCCCGCCGCCGUCGCCGAGUCCCUCGACGAGAUCUCGCGCCGCAGCGCGCUCGCGCUCCUCUGCCCCUGCCGUGGACCCGACACCUUCCGCCAACACAACGAGGAUCGGAGGUUCCUCCUGGUGAACGUGCCCGGGUUCGACAGCAACGCCGAGUACCUCCCCGAACAGGUGACGGCCGCGCGGGAGCGGUUCGUCCCGCAGAAGAUGUAUGACUUCCUGCAGAACGCUGCCGUGCAGCAGCGCGACGCGGCGGAGACGGCCGCACGGACCUUGCCUGGGAUCGAGAUGGCAGCGAUGCUCAUGGCGUACCGCCGGUCUAGGUACGAGAGGUACGACCUCACCUACGCCGAAUCAUUUGGGGUGGAUUCGAAGAAGGCCCUUGAAGGCGAGGUCAAGGCUGAGAAUGAACGGUCUCAACGAGCUCGCCCGCUCAAGGGUCGGCAGAAGGUGCCGGAGAAGGAGAACGCCCCGGCGAGGGGCCGGAGGGGCGCAGCCGGCGCGGCGGCGAGGCUCAUGGAGAAGAUCAUGCCCGGCGCGCCGGCCAUGAAGCCCAAGGCCAGCAAGAAGGACCAGUACCUGCUCAAGCGCCGGGAAGACGCGCGCGCGCCGGCGCUGCCGCCAGCCGCGCUCCCGGACGCGGCUCCCGCCCCGGACGACGGUGGCCCGCCGCCUGGCUUCCCCCCGGCUGAACCGCAGACGCCGCCGCUACCCAGCAGCACCGGAGGCGCCGACGAGGAGGAGUUUAUGCUGCAGAGACGCGCGCUCCCUCCUGCCGACCAGGCGAGCGACGGCGGCGCAACCGCAGACGCCGCUGCACCGAAGAAGGUGGCCAAGCCCAAGAAGGCCCGCAAGCGCGACAGCGAGGAGCCGGCCGAAGACGUGGCCGCCGCCGACGGCGAGCCCAAGAAGAAGAAGAAAAAGAAGAAGCUCGCUGAACUCAACGGCGGCGUGCCCUCUGCCGCCCCCUCCGGCGACGCCGGCGCUACAAAGCCCGCAGCUUUCUCACCCCCCAAGGUCGACCUUGACGGCUUAGAUCUGACACAGAGCUAUGAGAACGAUCCGCCGGAAGAGUCAAAGAAGGGCUUGGAUAAUAAGCCCAGUGUCGUUGCCGCCGCCGCCGCCGCCGUCUCUGACGGCCAGCCCCCCAAACCGUUGAAGAAGAAGCCGGUCAUGAGGCCCAGCGACCCCACCAGUGCUGGCGUGAAGCGCCCGCCGUCUGACCGCCAGGAGGAGAUUGCCUCCAAGAAGAAAAUCAAGCUGGACAAGAUUAAGACUCUGGCCGCCGACAAGAAGGCCGGGCUGGAGCAGAAAGUCGCCACCGCCACCGCAGCUGCGGGAGGCGGGACGACGGCGGCGGCUCAGCUGCCACGGGCUGGCCUGAAGGAAAAGGCUCUGGCGGCAGCCAAGAAGAAGGUGCCAGCGGCGGCGCCUGUGAAGAGGACGCCGUCGCCGACGGCGCUGAUGAUGAAGUUCCCGCUGAAGAGCACGCUGCCGUCGGUGGCCUCCCUCAAGGCGAGGUUCGCGCGCUUCGGGCCGCUCGACAUCAACGGCAUCCGCGUGUACUGGAAGUCCCACAUGUGCCGGGUCAUCUACAAGUUCCAGUCGGACGCGGAGGCCGCGCUCAAGUACGCCAAGGCCAACGCCAUGUUCGGGCAGGUGGCCCCCAACUACUACCUGCGCGGCGUCGAGGGAGGGUCGGCCGGCGCCGACCCAGGGCCUGAGCCGGCCCCUCCGCAGCGCUCUGACCUGCGGCUCAUGGAGACCACGCCGUUCAGGCCUGGGAGCUCCGGCAAUGGCGCUCCGCUGACGCUGUCCAAGGCGGUGCCGGCGCGCAUGUCCGUUGGGCUGCCCAAGUCAAUCCUGAAGAAGAGCAACGACGAGGGCGGGCUGGCUGCGGCCAGCGCGCUCCGAGACUCCCCUCGGGUGAAGUUCGUGCUGGACGGUGGGGACAGCAUGGUCGAGCCACCUCCAUUGCCACCGAGCUUCGAUGGAAACAAUGGCCCGGACACUGCUGCACCAGUGAGCAAGAUCGCGAGGUCGCUCGGCUUCGCUCAGCCGCCUCUGCAGCCGCCGGCACGCCCUGCGCAGCCCAACCUGCAGCCACUCAUGCGCCCACAGCACCAGCAACUGCAGCCGCCACGCGCACCUGAUUCACAGCCACUCCCACCACCGCCGCCGCUGCCAUACCAGCCUCGCAUCAACGAGCCAUCGUCGUACCAGCAGCCCCGUAUCAGCGAGCCAUCGCCGUACCAGUCUCGCGUCAACGAGCCACAGCUGUACCAGCCUCGUCGCACGGACGCGCCGCCAAUGUUCAACAUGCAGCCGCCGUACCAGCCUCGCCAGAGUGACGCGCCGCCACCGUUCAACAUGCAGCCGCAGUACCAGCCUCGCCACAGCGACGGACCGCUCGCCCUCCCUGGACAGCCGUCGCUGCCGCCGUACCCUCCCCGUGCCGGUUUCCCCGGACAGCAGUACUCUUCCCGCUCCGACGACAUGCCGCCGGCUCACUUCGACAACAACCCCAGCAGCAACGCCAUGCCGGCGUGGAAGAGGGGGGAGAAGGAGUUCAACGAGGAGCUGAUGAGGGUGAUGCUGGGGAUCGCCAAGCUGGUGGAGCCAUUGAUGGACAAGAACGGCAACUUCCCCUACCACCUCUUCAGCCGGUCAGCAUGA
rnacentral:rRNA from 1 species